rnacentral:lncRNA from 1 species
AUGCCUUUGUUCUGCCCUCAGAUAAUUAUUGUCGUUAUAAUGGUUAUUGACAAUACUUUGUGUUUCACAAAAGUGGAGUAUCGUUUUCCGUCGCGGGCAGUUGUGUUUUUAAACAAACUUGUCAGAGGCGCAUCCCUCCCGCCCGGCGCUAAUGCAAGCCGCUGCUCCUUUGUUCCUCGCCGGCAGAAAGUGGAGCGCUCCCCGCCGCCUUCUCGCACCCCGACGGCGGGGGCUGCGGGGGACAGCGUUCCCCGGGACGGGAGGCGACAUGGCGGGGGGGCGACACGGGCUGGGGGGGGAUCCCGUCUGAGGCCCGCGGUCAUAAGGCGCCGCCUCAGUGGCGCAGCCGGUGCGUGCGGGGGGAGGCGGCGGGCAGGUGAGCCCCCCCGGCGGCUCGGUGCAGCCGCAGGACUGCCUAACUUGGUGCCAAGACCCCGAUUUGAGGCUCUCUCGGCGUCGGGGGGCUCCGAAGGGCGCCUCCGGAGCUGCCGCAGGGCCGCCCGCCCGCCUCGAAGGCGCGCCGGGAGCUCGGCUUCGCUCUCUCUCGGUGGCGGCGGCCGGCACGGCGCUGUUCGUUUCUUGACCCCCGCGGGCCGCCGCCGUGCCUGCUCGUUGCCCCGGGCCCGCCGCGGUUUCUCCCGUGCGGGCAGGAAGCGGGCGGUGGAGGCGAGCAGCGACGCGGCACUCUCCGAGCGGGUGCUCGCAGGGGGAGAGAGUUUGGGAAUGGCGAGUCCUCGGGCAGGAGCAGCCUUCGCAGGGCUGGAACAAGCGAGCACCCAGUCCCAGCGUCAGCCCCAGUCCCGGUCCCGGUACUUGCUGGGACUUUGCCGGGGCUUUGGGGGCGCUUCCCCCGGCGCCCCCCGAGCCCCGCAGCGGGGUGUCUCCGAGUUGUGUUCCAGCCUCCCCCGGUCCGCAUCCCGGAGCCACCCGCCGUGCCGAGCCGUGCUGUGCCGUGCUGUGGUCACGCCGCGUCGGCUCGGCCGGCAGCCGCUCCAGCCCCCUGUUCACGCGUUGCUCGAUUGCCGGCUUCGGCUGCUGCAGAUUUCCCCGGAGCAGCAGCAGCAGCACCGGGGCCGGGCGCCGCUGCCCCUGCCUCCGGCCGCGCUGCCGCCGGCGAGAAGCGCAUCCUCACGGGCUGCGAUAAAUUAUUUAGGCUUUCUGCUUCCUAAUUUUUGA